AGGGGCUGCAGGGGUGUUAAGAUCCUGGGCGGAUCUGUGGCUUGGCCUCCUUCUGCCUGGGGUACUUGGGAGGCGUAUGGUCUGUUUACACCGGCGAGGACUCAGCCCCAGCCUGGCGCGGCCACGGCCAGCACCCAGGGUGUCAGCUCUGCUGGGUGACAAACGUCCGCCUCCCUGAGCCUCUGUCGGCCCCCUGGAAAAUGGGGCUGCUCCCGCCCACGGUGGGGAGGCCGCGUGGGAGCUGUGCUGUGUGAGCGAGAGUCCGGCCGGAGGUCAGGCUCGAGGCCAAGGCUGGCCCAGCCCGGCUGCCAGGACACAGUGGGGAGGGAGCCCGAGGCAGCUCCUGAGUCACGGUUUCCCGGUGCUGCCAGGCCAGGCGGGAAAGAGGCGGUGGGCAGAGCCGGAAGUCGGGAGCUGGGGAGUCCCGGAAAACAGAGACCACGGUUGUAGAUUUCUCGGACAGAAUGGACAGAAAACCACCUGUCAGAGGAGAAGGGUCCCUACGGUGUCAGGGUGUGGCCACUGUGGCCUCUGAGUCAUGGGCAGCGGACUCAAUCUCUGCGAACUCUCCUCUUUCUUUCUUUCUUUCUUUUUCUUUCUUUCUUUCUUUCUUUCUUUCUCUCUCUCUCUCUCUCUCUCUUUCCUUCCUUCCUUCCUUCUUUCUUUCCUUCUCUCUCUUACCCCUCCAUCCCUCCGUCCCUCCCUCCCUCCCUCCUUUCUUUCUUUCUUUCUUUUUUUCUUUCCUUCUUUCUGCCUUGGAGACAGGGUCUUGCUAUGUAGCCCAGGGCUGGCCUUGAAUUUGUGCUGAUCCUCCUGCCUCAGCCUCCUGAGUGCUGGGAUUUCAGGCGUGUGGCACCACACCCUGAAGCUCUCGUGAGCUGUUGUCACCCAGGGAGACAGCAUGGUGAGUUUAUAGCAUGACCCUGUGAGGAGGUCAACAGGGAAGAGUUGGGAUGGAGGAAGCAGCUUCCAUUGUGUUGCAAGGGUGAGGGGUGAGGAAAGGGUUCUUAGGAAUUAAUGCCAGGGGAAGAGCUGAAGGAAGUAAAGGAGGGAGCUAGUCAAGCAUCUGCAGAGCACCACAGGCAGAGGGCAGGGCAAGUGCAAAGGCCCUGAGGCAGGGAUAGGACUGGCAUAUGGAGAGCAGCCAGGAGGCUGGUGUGGCUGGAACAGAGUGGACAUGGCAGGAGCUGAGAUCAGCAUGGGGUGGGUAGGCAGAGGGUACAGGCACGAGGAGGAUUUGGUUUUUUCUCUGACACACGUGCGAGCCCCUGGAAGGCCGUGAGCAGAGGGGAGUAGUGAGGCACAGUCAGAUCUCAGGGAGAUUUGGGGAGAAUCGACCUGUGGCAGCGUGGGGCUAAGGUGGGGGCUAAAGACAGAGAGGCACCAGGGUCUGGAUUGGGACCAGGACCCCCAGACCUCUGGCUUCUGCCUCGUAGGUGCCCGGGUGCCCAAGGCCAGGCCAGUGCCACCCCUCACCGGCCAGCCUUCCCCAAGAGUGCUCUGUGGGUUUCUUGUUUGCUUGUCGUUUUGCUACCCUGGAGAUUAACCCAGGGCCUUCACCCUGAGCUACAUCCCCAGCCCUUUUUAAGUAUUUUAUUUUGAGAUAAGAUCUCACUAAGCUGCCCAGGCUGGACUCAAACUUUUGAUCCUCCUGCCUCAGCCUCACAGGUGCUGGGAUUCCAAGCCUGGGCCACCACGCCUGGUCAGGAGGGCUUCCGGGUGAGGCGUCCCCCAGGCCCCUGACUUCCCUCGCUCCCUCCUCACCCUUAGCCCAGCCAGCACGAUGCUCAGGCCCAGGAGGUGCGGGUCACCAGGUGAUGGUGAGACAGGAACAGCCGGAGCCUCCGGCAGGGAGCACAGCCUGCCCAGGGUGCCCAGCACACCCCCAGGCUGCGUGGCUCAGCCCUGAUGGCCACGUCUCCCACCCCCGACGUGCCAGGUCGUGGGAUCCUGGUGGAGCCUGGCGGUGACUCAGAGGAAUCGCCCCAGACAGGACCCGGCUGGGUGUUCAGACCAGAAACCACCACUUGACGGCUCCGUGGAGCUCAGGCCGGACAGCUUGGCUGUGUUGUUCAGGUUGUCGUGGUGAAUCAGCCUCUCUGUUUUAUUGUUUCCAUUCUGUCAUGUGUUCCAGUGUGUUCUGGUGCCUUCCCCUCCUUUCGGUUCUAUUGUGUCUCUGUAUCCGCUCAUCGAAUGUUUACUGAGCAUCUACUCUGUGACAGGCAGUGUUCUCGAUGCUGGUGUCACAACUUUGGAUAAAGCACCAAAAGGUGAUGAGAGCCCCGGACAGCAGCUGCAAAAAGUUGGUAGCACAGAGCUGAAUGGGGAGGGGGCAGAUUCUUUUCACAGAGGGAAGAGAAGGCUCAGGAAGGGCCUCACCAGAAGGUGACAUUCAAGCAGGAGCCUGAAGGGGUGCCGGAGGAGGCUUGGAGGUGCCUGGGUCUCAGGAAGGGUGGUCCUGGCAGAGGUACAGCAAGUGCAAAGGCCCUGAGGCUGGAAUUGCCUGGUAGGUUCAGGGAAUGGCAGGGAGGCCAGUGUGGCUGGAGCAGGUAACCAGGAGGGAGCGGGGCUCAUGAGGUGGGAAAAUACUUCACCUGUGCAUUUUGGGCAGUUUAAGGAUUUGCAAGAAUAUUGUGUCUUUCCAGCAGCUAACUCGCCACUGAGAUGUGUCUCUUGCCCACUGGACUUCGGGCCCCCUUCCAGAGCUGGGCCACAGCAACAGGGCCUGGGCUGCUCCAUUCACUCCUCCAUUGUUUUAUUCCAGCAUUCAUCUGCCUCGCCCACAUUUACAGAGCUGGGGCCGUGGGGAAGAGCAGACGCUGUCGCUGCCUGAGUGAGCCGCCGAAGCCCAAAGGGGAGGCUGGACGAGACCCUGGGUGAACAUCCCGAAAGGCUGGCCACUCUGCGCCACAGGAUGGUAUGGGGUGAGCAGCUGACCUUGGCCAGGCCCUUCCUCCAUGAUGUUCCCACCUGGAGCCGGACGGCAUGGUUGGAGACCUCUGAAUCCGUGCACCGAAAUGAGCCUUUUCCUCUUGAAGCUGUGGAUGUCAGAUUCUUUGUCCUAGUAAUAGACAACCCGGGCCCACCCCUUUUCUGAACCUUUUCAGGAAUUAGUUUCUUCACUCUCCCUGUGCCCAUUUCACAGGGGGACACUGAGGCACAGGGAAGUAAACAGCAGCUGGCAGAGCCAGCUUCACUCCUGGGUGGUUGGUUCUGGCCCCCCUUCUCUGUGUGCUGCCUGCGGUGCCUGUCAAGUGUGGAGAGGGGUUUAUUGCUCAGUUUUUCCUGCUGUUGAAUGUAAAAUGUUGUCACGAUGAA